GCCCUUCAUGAUGCCUACCAUGGCCCUGCCUGGGCUUCCAGCCUCAAGGGCCCUCUGUUCCCCGAGCCAGCUGAGCUGUGGCAGCGGGGAGUGUCUGUCUGCUGAGCGGCGCUGUGACCUGCGGCCUGACUGCCAGGAUGGCUCGGACGAGGAUGGCUGUGUGGACUGCGUGCUGGCCCCCUGGUCUGUCUGGAGCAGCUGCAGCCGCAGCUGUGGCCUGGGCCUCACCUUCCAGCGCCAGGAGCUGCUGCGGCCUCCUCUGCCAGGGGGCAGCUGCCCGCGUGACCGGUUCCGAAGCCAGUCCUGCUUUGUGCAGGCCUGCCCAGUGGCUGGGGCAUGGGCCAUGUGGGAGGCCUGGGGACCCUGCAGCGUCUCCUGCGGGGGUGGCCAUCAGAGUCGCCAGAGAAGCUGUGUGGACCCCCCACCCAAGAAUGGCGGUGCCCCCUGCCCCGGGGCCUCCCAAGAGAGGGCACCCUGCGGCUUGCAGCCCUGCUCAGGUGGCACAGACUGCGAGCUGGGCCGUGUGUAUGUGAGUGCCGAUCUGUGCCAGAAGGGGCUGGUGCCCCCAUGCCCACCCUCCUGCCUGGAUCCCAAGGCCAACAGAAGCUGCAGUGGGCAUUGUGUGGAAGGAUGCCGCUGUCCCCCGGGGCUCCUUCUGCAUGACACUCGCUGCCUGCCCCUCUCUGAGUGCCCCUGCCUGGUGGGCGAAGAGCUGAAGUGGCCAGGGGUGUCCUUCCUCCUGGGCAACUGCAGCCAAUGCGUGUGUGAGAAGGGGGAGUUGCUGUGCCAACCAGGGGGCUGCCCCCUGCCCUGCGGCUGGUCAGCCUGGUCCUCCUGGGCUCCCUGCGACCGCUCCUGUGGCUCUGGAGUGAGGGCCAGGUUCAGGUCUCCCUCCAACCCUCCGGCAGCCUGGGGGGGUGCCCCGUGUGAAGGUGACCGGCAGGAACUGCAGGGCUGCCACACAGUGUGUGGGACAGAGGUGUUCGGCUGGACGCCCUGGACUUCCUGGUCCUCCUGCUCCCAAAGCUGCCUUGCCCCGGGAGGGGGCCCUGGCUGGCGCAGUCGUUCCCGACUCUGCCCCAGCCCUGGGGAUUCAUCCUGCCCAGGAGAUGCCACCCAGGAGGAGCCCUGCAGCCCCCCUGUAUGCCCAGUGCCAAGCAUCUGGGGUCUGUGGGCUCCCUGGUCCACUUGCUCAGCCCCCUGUGAUGGAGGCAUCCAGACACGUGGGCGCAGCU
rnacentral:lncRNA from 1 species